AAACAAAACAAAACAAAAGAGUUGCUUGAAGGAAUCAAGCAGUACCAAAGCAGCCAAGACUUGAAGGUCUAAGAUCAUAAAGAGAAAGAAGGGCAUGUACUGAGAAGUGAGUCUGAUGUUGCCCCCACCUUUCCCCUUGAUGUGUUUGCUAAUUGACAAGUGGCUUGUGAAGAGCUAAUUGGAAGACUGUGGCUGACAGGCAGAGAGGGUGGGGACAGAGAUUUUAGCAGCUCAGGAGAUGCAGAGAGAAAAAUUCAAAAUGUUUCAGGACUUACCAAAGAGAAGGGUCCCUGAUAAGCACUCGGGCUUUCAUUUGGGACUUCUGAAGGACAACAUCCAAGGACUAAGGUGUCUUAGUUUGGGCUACUAUUAUAAAUUACCAUAGGUUGGGUGUUUUCCACAACAAACAUUUAUUUCUCUUAGUUCUAGAAGCUGGUGGUCUGAGAACAGUGUCGCAGCAUGGUCAGGUUCUUGGUGAAUGCCCUCUUCCUGGUUUACAGACCGCAUCUUCUUGCUGUGUCCUCACAAGGCAGCAAAGAGAGCUACGUAGCUCUCUGGCCUCUUCUUCGGAAGGCACUAAUUCCAUUUGUGAGGGUUCCAUCCUCAUGACCUAAUUACCUCCCAAAGGUACCAUCUCAAAUACCACCACACUGGAAUCGGUUUCAACAUAUGAAUCUUGGAGGACCCAUUAGUCCUUUGCAAAAGGGUAACUGGAGACACCUAGGCCUCAAAAAGAAUGAAGCACGGGGGUGCCUUGGUGGCUUAGUCGUUUAAGCAUCAGACUCUUGAUUUCGGCUCAGGUCAUGAUCUCAUGGUUCAUGAGAUAGAACCCCACAGGGCUCCACGCUGACAGCACAGAGGCUGCUUGAGAUUCAUUCUCUCUCCCUCUCUCUCUCUCUCUCUCUCCCCCUUCCUCACUCAUGCGUGCUCUCUCUCCCUCUAAAAAUAAAUAAACUUAAAAACAAAAAAGAAUGAAGCACAGUUCUGAUUUAAAUCAAUCUCAGACUACAGUAAGGUGAAUUUCCCCAUCCAAACUACCUGCUAGUAGCGAAAGUAAAUCCUUUCUGAAGGACUUAUAGUAACACCAAUAAAUAUCAAAUACCUAGGAAUAAGUCUACUAAAGAUGUACAGAACUGCAGGAGAAUUGUAGAUGUAAAUAUGAAAGUUUAAGCAAAAGCUUCUAAUGGAUAUCAGUGAAAAUCUUCACGACCCUGAAAGUACUCCAAAACACCUGUACACAAAUGUCCAUGGUAGUACUAUUUCUAAUGCUCAAAAACUUGAAACAACUCAAAUAUCCAUAAACAAUGAAAGGGGUACAUAAAAUGUGGCAUAUUCAUUCAAUGGAAUACUACCCUGCAAUAUAAACACAUAAACUACUGCUAAACACAACAGCCUGCGUGGAUUCCACCAACAUGGUGGUGAAUGAAAGAAUCCAGACACAAAAAAGUACCUACUGUAUGACUCCAUUUAUAUAAAGUUUAAAAAUAGGCAAAAGGUACCUAUGAUGUUAAAAGCUUAGAGGGAGAGUCGCUUAGAGACCAGAAGAGAAAGGCUGCUUUCCAGAGUGCAGGCAAUGUUUUGUUUCUCGACCUGGAUGAUGGUUACUGGUUAUGUCAGUUUGUUCCCAUGAAAAUAUGCUGAGCAUUCCACAUGGGGCUUGUACACAUCUCUGAAUAUUAUAUUUAAAGUUAAUUCGAUGACAACUGAGAGAGACAGAGAGCACUGAAACUCUUCCCCAGAGGUGGCACAUAUCUUCUUGAACCCAACAGGACUCCAUGCUUUAAGUGAUGAAACAUUUCACUCAAAUUGACCUAAAAAGCAAAGGGAGUCCAAAGAAGAUGGACAUAUAGCCAGCAAGCAUAUGAAAAAUGUUCAACAUCAUCAGUCAGAAGGAAAUGUGAAUCAAAGCCACAGUGAGAUACUACUUCACACCCACGAGGAUGGCUAUGCUCAAAAAGCAAGACAGUAACAAGGGUUGGCCAGGAUGUGGGAAAGUCAUGAUACACUAUAACAUGGAUGAACCUUGAAAAGAUUACGCUACAUAAAAGAAGCUGGUCAUAAGCGACCACGUAUUCAUACUUACGGGAAAUGUCUAGAACAGGUUACUCUACAGAGACAGAGGGCAGAUUUGUGGUGGUGGUGGCCAGGGCUGAAGGCAGCGGGUGGCAGUUUCAGCCAGGGAGGUUGAGAGAGAAAGAACAACUGCUCAUCAGAAUGGGGUUUCUUUUGGGAGCAAUGAAAGUGUCCUAAAAUUCAUUGUGGUAAAGGUUGCCCAACUCUGUGAAAGUACUAAAAAAUAUUGAAUUGUACACCAUUAAAACGGUUUCACUAUUUAAACUCUUUUUAAAAACAUUAAGGGUGAAUUUUAUGAUAUUUAAGUUAUAAAUCAAUAAAGGUCCUUUAACAACUAAGGAGACUAGGGGCGCCUCGGUAGCUCAGUCAGUUAAGUGACCGACUCUUGAUUUCGGCUCAGGUCACAAUCUCACAGUUUUGUGAGUUCAAGCCCCGAAUCAGGCUCUGCAGGCUGAUUGGGUGCAGAACCUGCUUGGGAUUCUCUCUCUCCCUCUCUCUCUGUCCUUCCCCUGCUCACACUCUUUCUCAAAAUAAAUGAAAAACUUAAAAAAAUAAAAAUUAAAAAAACAUAUAAAAACCAAUGAGAAUUUAAUGGCUUAUGUAACUGAAAUAUCUAGAGAUAAGUUGCUUCUGUGAGGAUCCGUCCAGCAGCCCAAACAUUAUCACCAGUACCUGAUUUCAUUCUCUCCUUGAUCUGCCUUUUGUGGUCUUGGCUUCACCCUCAGACCACCAUGUCAGUAACUUAGCAGCUCCAGGCACACCCAUCUUGUCAGCAAAAAAAGGCAAGAGCCAUUCAAGAUGUCAUAAUCUCUUCUUGCACCAUCCAUAGGACAAAGAAAGUUUCUCUUUCUCAGAAGUUCCAGAAAAUGUGUGCUUAAAUUUUACCAAUGCCUCACUGACACUGCUUGAGUUUUGCUCCCACUCCAUAUGGAGAAAUGGGGCAAAUGAUAGUCUUAAGCCAAUCUGAUGCCAGAGCCCCAGAGUCAAUCCUACCCAAACUACAUGGCUGAAGGUUGGGUAAGGGCAGCUUCCUAAAAAAAGGUGGGAUCUUGUCACCAGAAAUUAUGGAAACUAAAGUUGAGGAGUAAACAUCAACCUGAAUUACACACACACACACACACACACACACACAACACACACAUACGGAGCCAGAGUCAUUGUGGACUAAAGAAUACAAGCAACAGUUAUUUACAAAUUGAUUUUCCACAUUUGAUGCAAGACAGAGGUACUCAUGUUUGUAAAUGGAGCACUGGACAUACAACUGGAUCCAUAACACCUUCUCAAUUGAUUUUGAAUGAAUGAACAAACAAAUAAGCCAAUGACAACAAAUUAAUAAAUGAAAGAAAUUGGCUAUCUUGAUGGCAAAGAACCCAGACUCUCUUUUGGUUCUUUUUUCUUCUAUCUCCUUCUUCUCUCUACUUGGUCAAUCACCAUGAGUCCAGUAAAGCAUUCAAAAGUUAGAAAGAAUUGGACAAGGAGAGUUUCAAAUCUCUGUAUGUUUUGGUCCUGAAAAGCACUCUGAUGACAAACUCACAGUUGAGGAGGUUUAUAUCAUUGGCUACAAAAAGGUUUAGAGAGUCUUAGUUGGUUUCAAUCUCCAACACAGGGGAGAUGUUGGUACAAUGUCAAGGCAACUAUUGACUCUUUCUAACCCUACUUCUAAAACCCGCAUAGGCAUUGGUUCCAGAGAUUUCUGAGUUACCUGUCAUCCCACACUGCCUCCUAAGCCAGGUCUUAGUUUCUGACCGGAUAUCCACUAGUUUAUAAGUAUUGCGGAAUAUUACCUUAACCUAACAGAAAUCACCAAAUGUAUAACAAACGACAUGAAAGACAGAAGAUCAAAACAUGUCUUCUAUCAUUAGAAUCCUGACCGAGAGUAUUUACACUUAAAUUUUCUAUUUUGACCUUCAUCUCAAGCUGGAGAUAAAUUGGGCAAGCAUUACUAACUUCAUUAUACAGAUUAGGAAACUUAGGCUCAGAAAACGUUUGCCCUAUUUUUAAUUGGUGACAAAGCAGGGACCAGAACAGGUUCCCCCCUAUAAAUACAGGUGGAUCCCUUUAAAUAAAAUAUAUUACCACUAAACCAACAUCCAGUGUACUGAAAAUUAAGAUGUUUUCCUGAUACUUAACAGAGGCAUUUGCAGUGACCCCACAUUUUUGCUUGAUUAAUAACUAAGUAAUAUAGAAUUUAUAAAAUCACAUCAAACAUUUCUGUGUGACAAUGCUAGGCAUUCAGUAAUUACUGAAUGCCUAGAUUCAUUCAUAUAAGAAUGACAGAUUCAUUCAUAUAAGAAGUGAUCAUAAGGUCAUAAAACAGACAAAGCCAAUUAGUUGUCAACCCACCUUUCAAACCCAUGUCCUUGGACCUUUUAGUGUCUUACUCUAGCCAUCUGAGCUAAUCCAUGGUCUUUGCAAUAAAAAGAUACUGAAACACUUUUUUUUUUUUUUAAUGACUUAGAUUUAAUCAUUGGAAGAGAAACACUUGUAAAUCUACAGGUACACUGAGUAUGUGUAUGAUAUACACUGCAUAUGUAUAUGAUACACUGUAUAUGAUAGAUUGGGUUUUUUUCCUCAAGUACUGAGCAAACUUUGUGCUUAAAAAAAGAAUUCACUGUGUUACCGAUAAUCGAAAAUGAAUUUACUUAGUUGGGUAGCUUUAAUUAGUUUGCUGGUGCUCCAAAGACUUUUGGGCGAAUGGGAUUUUUUUUCUAAUACCUGUAAUGCAUACAAGCGUUAAAUCAAAGCUGACUACAGCAAAAUCUAAUUCUAAAGGCCCUAGAGUAAAAUCACGAUAAAAUAAUUUACACCACAACCACUUCAUCAAAAUAGAAGGAAGUCUACGAAUAGUCCAACAGCUAUCACUACUAUGAUUUUUCCAAGAAAGAAGAGUUUAAAUUUUCUAACAAAUCCCACAUUUGUUGCUUUUCUAUGGCUUUUAGUUUGUCCAAAAGGAUUAUUUUUUCUUUUCUUUUUCUAGAUAUUUUAGACAGAGAGCAUGCGCAAGCAGGAGAGAGGGGCAAAGGGAGAGAGAGAAUUUUAAGCAGGCUCCAUACUCAGUGCAGAGUCCCACAUGGGGCUUGAUCCCACAAUCCUGGGACCAUGGCCUGAGCUGAAAUCAAGAGUCAGAUGCUCAACUGACUGAGUCACCCAGGCACCCCCAAAAGGAUUAUCAAUUUUAAAGCACAUCAAUUUAACAAGUGUUUAAUAAAAGACUAGUGAGAAACAUACAAAAACUAGAAGAGAGGCAACACUUUCAUGGAGGCAUUAUUGAUUAUUUAUUUUUCUUUUUAAAUUUGAAUUGAAUGUUGUUAUAAGAUUGUUAUUUAAUAAAUAAAAAGCAAGAAAAUUGCCAGCUUUAUGAGGAACAAUGUCUCCGCUUUGGGGUAGAGAAUUAGGAUAAUUAUGAACACUGCUUGGAAGUGUCAACCCUGCACUCACCUGUUCUUUGACCCAUGAGAAUCUUCUCCAUUUCACUGGGCCUGAACAUCUCUGGCAAUAAAAUGAUGAUAAAGAAAAUGACCUAUUCUACCUCAUAUAUUAGAAGAACAUAAAAAGAUUAAUACCUAUAUGCAGUUAUUAAAUUCAGUCAAAGAAGGUUUGGGAAGUUGGAACUUACUUUUGAGAUACGAACAGGCAAAAGUGAGGGAGGGAGAGGAAUUGAACAAAUUCCAUCAGGCACACUGGACAUGCUCCCACAAUUUCAAUUGCAGGCAACAUCCAGAGACACAGUGUUGAUGCUCCCCCACACCAUCCCUCCAAAAAUGCAAAUACUGAAACCUAUAAAAUGCCAAAUGGUGUUUAUAAUAGGUAAAUGAAAAUUGUAUAAAAGUCAAAACUAGGAUUAUAGAGACUGGAGUCAGAAAACCUUGGUUCAAAAAACUAUACAUAGAAUUUACUUAAACUGAUACAGGAUAUCUAUGAAAGAAAGAAAGAAAGAAAGAAAGAAAGAAAGAAAGAAAGAAAGAAAGAAAGAAAGAAAGAAAAGAAAAAAGAAAGGAGAAAGAAAGAAAACCUAUUGCAAAUAUUCACACUUAAUGGUGAUAUGCUGAAGGUUUCCCUUUAAGAUUGGGAAUGAGAAAAGAAAGAUCUCUAUCACUACUUCUAUUUAGAGAUUCUAGCCAGUGCAGUAAAGCAAAAAAAAGAAAAAGAAAAGAAAAGAAACAGACGAAGAGAGGAAGAGAGGAGGGAAGGAGGAAGGAAGGAAGGAAGGAAGGAAGGAAGGAAGGAAGGAGAAUAAGAAGUGAUAUCUCAUUAUGAUUUAUUAUUUUAUUUGAGAGAGAGAGAGAGAGAGAGAGAGAGAGAGAGAGAGAGAACAUGCACACAAAUCGGGGAGAGAGGCAGAGGCGAAAGAGUGAGAGAGAACCCCAAGCUGGCUCCAUGCUCAGUGUGGAGCUCGACACAGGGCUUGAUCCCAUGACCCCGGGAUCAUGACCAGAGCCGAAAUCAAGAGUUAGACACUGAACCAACUGAGCCACCCAGGCAGCCUCUCAUUGUGGUUUUAAUAUGUAUUUCCCUGAUGAUUAGUAAUGUAGAGCAUCUUUUCAUUUGUCUUUUGGCAGUCUAUAUAUCUUCUUUGGAAAAAUGUCUAUUCAGGCCCUCUGCUCAUUUUUUAAUCACAUUAUUUGUUUUUCUGGUGUUGAGUUGUAUUACUUCUUUAUGUAUUUUGGAUAUUAACCCCUUAUCAGAUAUAUCAUUUGAAAAUAUCUUCUCUCAUUCUAUAGGUUAAAAUCACUUUACGCCUGUCAGAAUAGCUAACAUCGAAAACAUAAGAAAUAACAAGUGUUGGCAAAAAUGUGAAGGAAAAGGAAAUCUUGUACACUGUUGGUGGGAAUGCAAACUGGUGCAGCCACUGUGGAAAACAGUGUGGAGGUUCCUCAAAAGAUUAAAAAUAGAAUUACCAUAUGAUCCAGUAAUGCCACUACUGGGUAUUACCAAAGAAAACAAAAACACUAAUUUGAAAAGAUAUAUGCACCCCUAUGUUUAUUGCACUAUUUAGGUACAAGAGCUAGGAUAUGGAAACACCCCAGAUGUUCAUCGACUGAUGGAUGGAUAGAGAAGAUGAGGUAUAUAUAUACAACAGAAUAUUACACAGCCAUUAAACAAAUGAAAUCUUGGGGCCCUUGGGUGGCUCAGUAGGUUAAGCGUCCAACUUCGACUCAGGUCAUGAUCUCACAGUUCAUGGGUUUGAGCCCCACGUUGGGCUCUGUGCUGACAGCUCAGAGCCUGGAGCCUGCUUUGGAUUCUGUGUCUCGCUCUAUCUAUCUGCCCCUUCCUCAGUCACGUGUUCUUUCUCUCUCUCUGUCUCUCUCUCCCAAAGAUAAAGAAACAUUAAAAAAAAUUUUAAUGAAAUCUUGCCAUUUGCAACAACAUGGAUGAACCUAGAGGGUAUAAUGUCAAGUGAAAUAAGUCAUCCAGAGAAAGACAAAUACCAUAUGAUUUCAUUUAUAUGUGGAAUUUAAGAAACAAAACAAAGAAAAAAGAGACAAAAAAACAAACUCUUAAAUACAGAGAACAAACCGGUGGCUGCCAGAGAGAUGGUGGGUAGGGAGAUGAGUGAAAUAAAGGAUUAAGAGUACAUUUACUGUGAUAAGUACCGAACAAUGUAUAGACGUGUUGAAUCAUUGUAUUGUACACCUGAUAGUAAUGUAACACUCUAUGUGAAUUACACUUCAAUAAAAAGAGAAAAAAGAAAAGAAAUGAAUGGUAUAAGGACAAAAAAAGUAAAAUAAAAUUGCUGUUACUAUUUGCAGAUACUAUCAUGUGUAGGUAGAAAACGCAAGAGAAUCUACAUAUGAUUUGUUGUACUUAAUAAGCGUAUUUGCUAAGUUACCUAGAUAAAAGGUCAAUGUAAAAGUUAAUUGAUUAUAAUAAUUGUAUCUACAAGCAAAUAGAAAAUAAUAUUUUAAAUGAUAUCUGCCUUUAAAAAAACUUAAAAACCUAGGAACGAAUCUAAUAAAAGAUGCAGAAGACCUCUAUAUAGAAACCUGUAAAACGUAGAUCAGAAGAGUUAAUGGUGUAAAGAUGUCAGUUGUCUCCAAAUCCCAGCGGGAUUUUUUUUUUUAAUUAUAGAAAUCGACAACUGAUUCAAACUUUUAUGUGGAAAUGCAACAGGCCGAGAAUAAGUAAUACAAUCUUAAAGCAGAUCAAAAUUGGAGUUACAGCAAGAGUUAUGAAGCUACAGUAAUUGAGACAAACUAGACAAAUAGGCCAGUGAAGCAGAAGAGGAGUCCAGAAAUAGGCCCACAGUUCUGUGGAGAACUGACUUAUGUCAAGAGUGGCACAGCAUAGCAGCGGGGAAAAUGUUUUACUUUCAAUAAUGGUGCUGAGUAGAUUGGAUGGUUUGAUUGGGGGUAGGGGGGACCUGACCUCUAUCUCAUAAAGAGAAACACAAAGAAUGUCUACACGUCCAAGAAAAAAAUGCAGACGAUCCAGUAGAAAAUUGAGCAAAACUUUUAAAAAGGAAGAUAUUUGAAUUGCCAGCAAACAUAUGCAAAGGUGUUUAAUUUUAUUAGUCAUCAGCGAAAUGCAAAUUUUAAAACCGGUAUGACAUUAGUACACCAAAGUGGUGAAGGUAAAAGGAACGUGCUGUAAAGAAUGGGGAGCAAAAAAAAACAAAUGGGGAGCAGCUAGAAUGUUUAUAUGCUGCUGGUGUGAAUAUAUAAACCUCAAAUCAGGCCAAACCUGCCUAUAAUGUUAGAAAUCUGGAUAUGGUUGCCUCUGGGGAGAAGGUAAUGGGAUAGAGACGGGGAAAGAACACAGGUGGGAAGGGUAGGAACCUUGGGGGUGCAGUUCUAUUCCUGGGUAAUAUAUUUCUUGAUCUAUAUGGUGAUUAUCCAUCUGUGUUCACUUUGUGAUACUUCAUCAAGCUGUACACUUAAGACUUGUAAACACGUCCCUGUAUACAUACUUCAAUUAUUAAGUUUAUAUAAAAAUCGACUCCGAUUUUAAGAACUCGAGAUUGCAGCCAUCAAAACCAGACAGACUAUGACGCAGGCUGACAUGAAUUUCCUCAAAAUUUUGCGGAUCUUAAAGCAUUGUUUUAAUAUGAGGACAAUAUCCCUUGGUUCCCCAGUUCCUUAAAAGCUUCUUCUAGCAUCUCCUAGCCAAGACUUCUCAAAGUUGUGUUGCCUUUAACAAAACUAAGAAAUCUGGCAACUGUGGAAGUGUGAAGCAUUUAGUCCUUUUCUUCAAAUGCUCCUCCAGACCUUGAGCAGUAGAUACAACUAGUUGAGGAGAGAAGGCACUGAAAGACCAUUAGAUCUCAGCAUGGGAAGGGACCCCAGAAGUCAUUAGCCUAACCUCAUUCCACACACAGGAGGCAUCCUGCAGCACUGAGGCAUGUAGUCAUUUAGCGUCUGCUUAAACAUCUUCAAAGUCAGGAAGCGAAGGCAGUCUAUUUCCUGGAUGAAGAGGUUUCCACGUCUGCAGGUCAGCCUAUGAAAAGCUCCUAAUCCAGCUCUCUUUAACUCAGACCCCUUAGAUAAAAAAGAACAACCUCUCUCUAAAUAACAGCACUUCAAAUACAAGAAGCAGACGCCAUGUUCGCCAGAGAGUUUCUCUUCUGUAACGCUGAACAUCUCAGUCCCUUCAACCCUUCUCACGCUAAAUCAGACACUGUCAUAUUGGAGAGAAGACUUUUGAAUCAAUUUGAUUCAGUCUGUCAGAGAUCCGGGUUAAGGAUAAAAUCCAGCUAUGGGAGAUGACCACAGCCAACAGCAAUUUUGUGGGUAAGCAGAAGAGGCUAUUGCCUGCUCUACGUCAUUUGAGGAGCAGAUAAAUUUUCUGUGAAUAAAACAUGUUCCCCACUUGCCUACUUUGAAACCUGAAAUUUUCAUAUCAAUCAUAACUUUGUGUUAAGGCAUCAAAGAUUGCUAUGAAAAAAAAAAAUGUUAUAGAGUAACCAAACACGAACAUCAAAGAAGAAACUAGCUCUGGAGAUGAGAAAGAAGACUGAGGAAACACAUGAGGGGGCAGGUGUAUUAGAGGAGGGUGAGAAGGUCAGAAAGUACUGGAGAACGAAGCAGCCCAAGAGGACAAGACAGUUAGGGUGCCAGAGGAUGGUGCACCUAGGAACCUGGACUAAUGAAGAUAUAAACACCUAAAAAGAAAAUGAAACUGAAAACCGGAAGAGAAAUGGACAGCUUGCCAAGAGCAGCUCUUCUCAAAGGCACAGACAAGUGAUCUUCUCCCCUGAGAAAGUCCAAGAACUAGUGGGAGGCUCAGAAGCAACAGCAUGGAACAUCUCUCCCUUUCUCCCUCUCUCUCUCUGUCUCUCCCUCCUCCCUCCCUCAUCUACACUCCCCUCUCCUUUCUUUUUUUGUCACUAUGCAGUUGGCCCACCAGGGACUGUCCCUGUGAUUCCCCAGCUUCCAUGCCAGUGACUGGAAAUUUCAGUUCCAGGGAAACCUAAAGCAUCGCUAAGGUGAGGAGAAAGGAAGACUCCAAUUUGCCAGCUCUGACAUCCUCAGCACCUGCUGUUAAUCACACACAUGCACUCAGGCGUGAUUCAGUGGCUCCUGUGAUUGGCCAUUUCAAUUGCUGUCUCUGUAGAUCACUGUCCCAGCUGAAUAUCCAGGGACCACAUUCAUCAAAAGCAUAAUUUGGGCGGAACGUGACUGUUUUUCCAAAACUGGAAGGAUGGCAUCAGCAAGAAAAAUUGGCAGUAUCUUUAAAGAAAGUUGGUUGUCUCCGAAGAUAAUGGAUAGUGGUUUUUAUAUCUACUAUUAAAAGGAAAUUAUCAGUU